UCUUGGUCCAUUAGAGGAAGUAAAAGUCGUAACAAGGUUUCCGUAGGUGAACCUGCGGAAGGAUCAUUACUGAGUCCUUUGAUGUGGGUUUGAUGCUGGCCUUUAACCCAGGCAUGUGCUCGCCCCGCUCAAUCCACUCUUACACCUGUGCACAUACAUUCAAAAGUGAAGUAAGCUUGUGUAUUUGUUGCUGAAAGGUGACUAUAUGCGCUUGAUUAUGGAUCUUUUGUAUCGUUUAUACACACCUUUUAAAGUCAGUAGAAUGUAUUAAGCCUUAUGGGCAAUAAAUCAAUACAACUUUCAACAACGGAUCUCUUGGCUCUCGCAUCGAUGAAGAACGCAGCGAAAUGCGAUAAGUAAUGUGAAUUGCAGAAUUCAGUGAAUCAUCGAAUCUUUGAACGCACCUUGCGCUCCUUGGUAUUCCGAGGAGCAUGCCUGUUUGAGUGUCAUGAAAUCAUCAAUCCUAGAUGCUUUAUUGUGUCUUUGAUUGGACUUGGAGGUUUGUUGGCUUGCAAAAGUCGACUCCUCUUGAAUGCAUUAGCUUGGGCUCUUCUAAAGUUAGUUCAUGGUGUGAUAAUUAUCUACACUAUAUAGCUGCUUUGGAUUCAAGCUUCUAAUGGUCUGUAAUAAGACAAUUGACUUCAGAUCUGACCUCAAAUCAGGUAGGACUACCCGCUGAACUUAAGCAUAUCAAUAAGCGGAGGA
rnacentral:rRNA from 1 species